AUAACUACACCGAAUAACUGAUUUGGGGGAUAGUUGUCAAAAAAAAAAAAAAACUGAUUUGGGGAUUCAGUUCUACCACAAUCACAAACAACAGUUUCUUCAUAGCGAUCAACUUCAAUCUUCUCUUCCCAAAUCCCUAGCUUCUCCGAUCGCACACUUCGCUCAAUUUCCUUCAAUUCAUCAAGCUAAGCAUUCUUCUAUUCUUUCCUCUGUUUUAUUUCUUUCAUCUUCAUCAAUUUCGAAUUCAUAGACCUUGAAUUUAGACAAUUUUGAUACAUUUAAUAGAUCUAGGGUUUAACAUGUUACGCAUCAAUCUUCACUUGCAUUUAUCUUAUUCAUAUCAAUCUUCAUUUGUUUUAAUCUGUUUCGUUUCAAUUUAGAUCUGAAUUUUUUGUUGUGAGUAUCGCUUUAUUGUUCCAUUCAUAUAGAGAUGUUAAUUCUUAAAUACUAAUCAACUAGUAAUUAUAUUUAUACCAAUUCAGCAAUGCUUUUAAUAAUCAAUCUGUUUUACAUAAGGUUUUAUUUUACAUGAGAAUUCAUCACAAGUUUUCUAUUGGUAUAUCUGAAAUUGCAUCUGUUAUAUAGUUAAUCCAAAAUCCUAUUUAGUUGCCAAUCUCUAUUAAGUUUUUGACCUAAUUCGUUUGGGAUUUAGUUAGGUACAAUCUAAUGAUCUAACAUGAUAUUAAAGUUGACUAUUGAAUUGUGAUCUAUGGUUAGUUAGUGACUUAGUGAUUUGGCUUUUAAUAAGCUAAUAUUACCGAUAUCAGAAUUAAAAUCAAUGAUUAUAAAAGUAUAUUAAAAGCUGAGCAGUUGAUCGUAGAUUACGAAAGCUUUGGUAUUAGGUUUUUUGGGUCUAAUUAUGAAGAAAUUUGAUCUACAUUUAAAUGAAUCUGCAAUGCUUUUGUAAUGCUUUUAAUAAUCAAUCUGUUUUAUUGAUAGUUCUGUUACGUAGUUUUUAAGUUGGCAAUCUCCAUUAAGUUUUUGACCUAAUUCUUAUUGGAUUUAGUUAGCCCAAUCUAACAUGAUAUCAAAGUUGACUAUUGCAAGUUUGAUCUAUGAUUAGAGGUUUGGCUUUUAAUUAGCUAAUAUUACCGAUUUUAGAAGCAAAAUCAAUUAUGCUAGCAUGUUAAAAGCUGAGCAGUUGACCAUAGAUCACAAAAGCUUUGAUAUUUGUUUUUUGAGUCUAAUUAAAUGCCAUAAAAGCUGAUUUUGUGAUGUUGAAUUUGGUCCAAAAACCCAAGAAUCUGCCAAAUAAUUUCAAAGAGUUGCACAACAAUUUUAUUUAUACUUUAUUUGUUGAUUUAUCGCACUUUCUUUUACUCUAAAUAUUUUGUCACUAUUAAUAUAGCAAGUAAUCUGCACAAUUAGGCACAAAAACGAACGGUUUUAAUCACAUAUAUUAUUUUCAACAACCAUUGAGAAUAUACAUUAACUUGGAAAAGCAUUUUUAAAUAAUUUGUUUUAGGAUGCAUGUUUUUUGGAUAUAAUUUUAUAAUUUGCUAAAAGUUCAAACAAACAUGGGAAGUGAAGAUUCCGAACUUCACAUUCCUGGCGGGAAUAAAACUUGAAUCCAUGAUAUUGAGUGGAGUUUUCUUGAUAAGUGGUUCAGGGGAAAAGAAGUCUGUACAGUUCAGUCCCUUUUUAUUUCAUUGGCACAUGCAAUACUUUUUUCUUUUUUGUUUUUACAUGCUCAGAAAACUCCAUAAGGAGAUUUUCUACGCCAUCCAUCAUGGGACCCAAAAAAUAGUUAAACUAGAUACUAUGGCUUAUGAUAUAUUAAAAAAUUGAUGCUAGUUUUUUUAGUACAACUACUAUAGAACCUAAUUAAAUUUGUAAUAGAAUUUAUAUAGCUGUUGAUAUUGGUAAGUUGAUACAGGAUUUCUAUUUUGAACCCGAUAUUUUUUCUGUUUUUGGGUGGGGGUGUUAUGAUUAUUUAUCUCCUUUUCAUAUUGGUGGUUUUCUUCUGUCCUUUUGUCUUUGAAAACUGUGUUUUAUAUCUGGAGAAUUUAGAGAAAUGUAUAAUAACUUAAUUUGUUCUGCCAGACAUUUGUUGCUUCCCCUGAGGAUACAAAGAUUGAUUUGAACCCUCAGAAAAUACGCUUUCUGCCCAUAUACCAGCGUUUCUUUGUAAUGAAGAUUCAUGGCUGGCAUAGCGUAUUCAGAAUCUAGGAUGUAUAUAGGCAUUUCAUUCUUGUGCUCUGGCAGGUCCCAAGAAUAUUUAAAAUGGAGGCAGCCUCUUUCUAGUUGACCCUUACAAAUAACUGACUAUAACUACAAACUGCAAGUGUGAUAUUUGGGAUGCAUUCCAAGCCGCCUUAAUACCAUGGAUCUUUCCCAAUCCCACCUCUUUAUGAAUCAUACCAAACAAAACAUUAUCACACAAAAUAAACAAGUUAUGGGACAAAGGGUCACUUUGCCUCAGGCCAAACUCUGGUGAGAAACUUACUCGACUGCCCAUUGAUAAAGAUCUAACAGGAAACAGAAUGAUUCAUUUCGUGAUCACAUUCGUCAAGUGUUUUGGGAAACCCAUUGUGUCAUCCUCCUUUUCUUACCUUUGGUCUUCUUUAGCCAAUGGAAGCAUUCCAUUGCAAUCAAAGCAUUUUCGGUGGUGAGCCUUCCUUUAAUAAAGGCACAUUGUUCUUCAUCAACAAUCUCAGGAAUGAUUCCUUUUAGUUUAUGGGCUACAAUCAGUAACUGUCUUUAUGACCACAUUGCAAAGACUAGGCAAUGAAAGUUUUAUUUAUGCCUCUAGAGAAAUCCCCCUGUUAAGAAUAACUAAAACCGACUACUGAACCUCUUGGCCAACAAUAUUCCAGUACUUCGGAAGAAAAGGGUUGGGAGCCCAUUAUAGCCUUGGUACCUUGAGAAGAUGCAUAUGAUUAAGGUUCUCCUUAAUUCCUUCCUUUGGAAAAGUGGUUGCACAAGACUUUUGAUCCUCACUCCGUCUUCUCCUCACAGCAUCACGGGUCUAAUAUAACUCUGAUGAGAAAGAAGUGGAGAAAACAUAAGAGAAAUGGUUUCUCUUCCUACAUGGUUUCAUGAUUUCUCCUACUGAUUUCUGUUUUUAGGACUGCAAUUUGUGUUUUUUAUAUGACCCUAUCUCCCUACAUGGUUUCAUUAUUUUGGCUACUGGUUUCGGUUUUGGGAACUGGAACUUUUGUUUUUUAUCAGAGCCUAUCUUCCUACAUGGUUUCAUAAUUUUGGCUUCUGGUUCUUGUUUCUACGACUGCAACUUAUGUUUUUUAUAAGACCCUCUUUCUACAUGGUUUCAUAUUUUUACUUCUGGUUUGUGGUUCUGUUUUUAGGACUGCAAUUUCUGUUUUUACAAGUUUCUAGUUAGGACUGCUACUUCUUUUUUUUCUUUUUUAUGGUUUCAUGCUUUUAGACUUCUUAAAACAUGCUUCUAUUUUUACCAAUGGUUCUUUGCUCAGACUGGUUUCAAUGAUUUGCCAAUGGUUCAAAAUUGGGCAGCAUACAUGUAGAGUAUUUUGGUUAUCAACUUUGGUUUCAAUUAUAAGAUGCCUAAUAUAGUAUUAUUGGCAUGUAGAUUUUGACAUGUAGACAUGAAAUAUGCUGCAUAUUUAACAUGACUGAUUAACAUGACUGAUAUACUGCUGUUUUUAAUUCCGCAAUCUACGCAUUAGUGAUUUAUGCACAUGCAUAAUAUUACGCAGUCUGUUUUAUACGACCAUGCACAAACGAAGUGGCUGUGACAUGGUUGGUUAAAAAUUUGUUUGAGCUGAGAUGCCUACCAAAGAAUUAUGCAUCUGGUUUUCAAAUGUUAUAAGAUGCCUUAAUACAUAGGAUUGAUAGACAGCACUUGAAAUCUGCAAAAAAAAAUUUAUUAUACACAUGCAUAGUAUCAUGCAGUCGGUGGUGAUUUAUAUUACAGAUGCACCAAAUAAGUGGUUGGGUCAUGUUAAAAAUCUGUUUGGGCAGAGAUGUGUUAUUUUGUUUCAUACGGAAAAAUAUGAUUAGGGCAAUUUGUAUAUAUUUACAUCGUCCAUUGGUUUUUGCUGGUUUUGUUUUUACAGUAUUUUUACUAGGCUGCUUGUUUAACACGGGUUUAAAAGUUGAUUUUCCAUAAGUUAACAGAUAUUAGAAGUUAUUAAGCUUAAGCAGAAUGCAAUCAAUUUCAAAUUUCAUUCAAGGAUGCGUUCAAUUUACAAGCCUCAACACAUUUCAUACAUACAAACUUGGAAGGCAAGCCGUCAUCAGAACUACCAAUUCCAGCACAUCUGGUAUGCUGCCAGAUGCCACAGAAUCCAGAUUGUGACUCGGCGAUUCGACUCACCAACAACUCGGCACUGGUCACAAUAAACCGAACUACGAGACCGAGUUACAUCCUCUUCAACAAUGUCAAGAGCAACCAUGGCAGUAGAAAGAUCAGAACCAUCAC